GAGAGAAGAAGAGAAGAAAUAAGAUUUUUCAGUCGACUUCAACUUCUACAUCGCCGCGCAGCAAUUCUUCUUUUCUUUUUCUUUUCUUUCUUUCGACUUGGUUCUUUCUUCUUUGUUGGAUA
rnacentral:ribozyme from 14 species